ensembl:snoRNA small nucleolar RNA, C/D box 113-3
UGGACCAAUGAUGAGUAUCCUGGGGUGUCUGAAUCAAUGAUUUUGAUUAAACCCUAUAACUCUGAGGUCAGA